rnacentral:rRNA from 1 species
CAGUCGCCGCGGGAACACGUAGGGUGCAAACGUUAAUCGGAAUUACUGGGCGUAAAGCGUGCGCAGGCGGUUAUAUAAGACAGAUGUGAAAUCCCCGGGCUCAACCUGGGAACUGCAUUUGUGACUGUAUAGCUAGAGUACGGCAGAGGGGGAUGGAAUUCCGCGUGUAGCAGUGAAAUGCGUAGAUAUGCGGAGGAACACCGAUGGCGAAGGCAAUCCCCUGGGCCUGUACUGACGCUCAUGCACGAAAGCGUGGGGAGCAAACAGGAUUAGAUACCCCCGUAGUCCCUGUCUCUUAUAC